AAUAAUCGGAAAAAUAAGUGACUAUUUGAAUACAACCAGUAGAAACUCAAGCUUGGAUCUAAAGUUUCUCAUUUACAAAAGGCUAAAAUGGUAUGCUAGUUCAAACUGUUGCGUUCGGAACUCCUUCAGCCGAUGAAUUGGCUAUAAACAAUUUUGUAGCACAAAGUAACCAACAUUCAGGCCUGAUAAAUGCUCUUACUACGGCUGAAUUAUUGAAUAUUGUGGGCGAGAAAUAUAAAAAUUAUGUGCAUAUUUAUCUCGGAGCAAACCAUAAGACAAGAGACG